UACGGAGGGUGCGAGCGUUGUCCGGAAUCACUGGGCGUAAAGGGCGCGUAGGCGGCGCGAGCAGUCGGCGGUGAAAGCCCGGAGCUCAACUCCGGGUCGGCCGUCGAUACUCUCGUGCUUGAGCACUGUAGAGGCAGGUGGAAUUCCGGGUGUAGCGGUGGAAUGUGUAGAGAUCCGGAAGAACACCGGUGGCGAAGGCGGCCUGCUGGGCAGUAGCUGACGCUGAUGCGCGACAGCGUGGGGAGCAAACAGG
rnacentral:rRNA from 1 species